GACGAACGCUGGCGGCGCGCUUAACACAUGCAAGUCGAACGGAAAGGCCUGCUUUCCCUUGUGGAUUGCGGGUACUCGAGUGGCGAACGGGUGAGUAACACGUGAGUGAUCUGCCCCCAACUUGGGUAUAAGCCUGGGAAACUGGGUCUAAUUCCCGAUAGGACUGCAGGGUGGUGCCUGUGGUGGAAAACGAUUUUCUAGUGGUUGGGGAUGAGCUCGCGGCCUAUCAGCUUGUUGGUGGGGUAAUGGCCUACCAAGGCGGCGACGGGUAGCCGGCCUGAGAGGGUGGGCGGCCACAUUGGGACUGAGAUACGGCCCAGACUCCUACGGGAGGCAGCAGUGGGGAAUAUUGCACAAUGGGCGGAAGCCUGAUGCAGCGACGCCGCGUGGGGGAUGACGGCCUUCGGGUUGUAAACUCCUUUCGACCGCGAGGAAGCCACCUGGUUGGAAGGGUGGUGACGGUAGUGGUAGAAGAAGCACCGGCUAACUACGU
rnacentral:rRNA from 1 species